rnacentral:rRNA from 1 species
UGGGGAAUCUUGGACAAUGGGGGCAACCCUGAUCCAGCCAUGCCGCGUGAGUGAUGAAGGCCUUAGGGUCGUAAAGCUCUUUCGCCUGUGAAGAUAAUGACGGUAGCAGGUAAAGAAACCCCGGCUAACUCCGUGCCAGCAGCCGCGGUAAUACGGAGGGGGUUAGCGUUGUUCGGAAUUACUGGGCGUAAAGCGCACGUAGGCGGACCAGAAAGUUGGGGGUGAAAUCCCGGGGGCUCAACCCCGGAACUGCCUCCAAAACUAUUGGUCUAGAGUUCGAGAGAGGUGAGUGGAAUUCCAAGUGUAGAGGUGAAAUUCGUAGAUAUUUGGAGGAACACCAGUGGCGAAGGCGGCUCACUGGCUCGAUACUGACGCUGAGGUGCGAAAGUGUGGGGAGCAAAACAGGAUUAGAUACCCUGGUAGUCCACACCGUAAAACGAUGAAUGCCAGUCGUCGGGUAGCAUGCUAUUCGGUGACACACCUAACGGAUUAAGCA